GACGAACCGUGCGAACGUUGUUCGGAAUCACUGGGCUUAAAGGGCGCGUAGGCGGGCUAUCAAGUCCGGGGUGAAAUCCUCCAGCUUAACUGGAGAACGGCCUCGGAUACUGAUGGUCUCGAGGGGGAUAGGGGCACACGGAACUGUGGGUGGAGCGGUGAAAUGCGUUGAUAUCCAUAGGAACUCCGGUGGCGAAAGCGGUGUGCUGGAUCCCUUCUGACGCUGAGGCGCGAAAGCCAGGGGAGCGAACGGG
rnacentral:rRNA from 1 species